GUGGCAGACUUGUGCCUGUUGCAUUAACCAGUGAUUUAAUGUGACUUCAUGCUGCCACAUAAAUCAAAAGCAGUGGUUCCUGCCGACAGGGUCUGUCCAGACAUCGGCUCCCUGUGCGAUGGCUCCAUACAAG
ensembl:scaRNA SCARNA14 small Cajal body-specific RNA 14